CCCUCAGUCUCACUACAUGGAUAGCCCAUUGCCUUUUCCGGUCACACAUAACUUGGAUGAUAUCAUUGACACCACUUCUUGCACGCAAAUCACCAAUAGUAACAUGCUGUAGCCUACUUACACCCACCAUAGGUCUUUCCAUUGCUAUUUGGGUGAUUUGCAGCUUUGAUUCUUCUGUAAGUGUUGUGUUCCAGGUUUUUCAGCCAUACAGCAUUACCAGAAGGGUACUAGCACUAAAGAGGUGGGCUUUCAUGGUAAUGGGAAGUUUGGAAUCAGCAAAAACACUGUACAAACUCCAAAAGGCAAUCCAACCUGAUCUCCUUCUGAUCAACUCCAGGCCCAACUCAUUGUCCAUCUGCAAUGCUUGUCCAAGAUAUCCAUAUUGAUCAACCAGCUUGUCGGAAUGUCCAUCCAGCUGCAUGAGGGGAACCCUAAGAGGGAGGCUGACCUUUGUGCAGAGACUUGUGACUGGAACCUGGGACCCUACCUUGUCACUGGCCUCUCUCACCUGACUACUACUGACCAAUGUUCAUGGCAGGAAUAAUCUAUUUUGACUACAAUGAGGCAACUAAUGUGUGCAAGGGAACUUAACAUGAGACUGAGAAUCAUGCUGUACCCCAGGCCACUACUGGUAUAACUGAAGUCUGAGUUAGCUUUUUGCUGAUCUAAUUUCUACCUGGGGCCUAAGACCACGUGUCCAUGAAUUAUCGAGUCACAGCUGUCUCCAUACCGACGCCCCUGUGGAUGAAGUGGAAAUUCAGAGCCAAACACCUUCCCUCCCUGCUGUAAUCCACGUGAGAGUGGCUGACCUGAGCGGUUCCAGGUUCCGUCCCAUUUCCGUCAGGAGCGCUUGACAUUUUGAUGCCGGACUAUCGGGAGUGCCGGACAAUUGGAUGCCAGACUAUAGGAGUUUUACUGUAUUUAAAUAUUUUCUGAUAUUUUAAUACUAUCAAAUAUUUAUUUCAAUUACAACACAGGUUAAAAAGUGUGCAUGGCUCAUUUUGUAUUAUUAUUUUUAAUUACAAAUAUUUGCACCAUAAAAAACAAGCAAAAUACUAUUUUUCAG